rnacentral:lncRNA from 10 species
GAGGUGGUGGGUGUGGAGGAUUCAAGCACAGGUCAGAGGAAGCAGCUCUGUGCAUCUUGGACUGUGAGUUGUCCAUGGUUGGUUGGCCUUCACCCAGGCACCCACGGAGGAUGGUUACUGCUUAUCAGAUUAUCAGCAUUCAGGCUGUCUUCUCCCUGGCACAACCUCUUCUGUCUGCCACAAACCAGGCAUAGAAUUUUGAUGGAAAUCUACAUGUUUCCUUUUUGCAGUUGCCAAGAAUGGUGUCCCAGCAUUCACACCCUUGUGCAGUGCCCGCCCAUAUUGUGUUAGGGUAAAUCUCUGUGACAGUAGCAUAUGGCAGAAGAACGUGGUGGGCGUCAUGCUGUGAGCAGCCCAAUGGAGAGACCCAUGUGGUAAGGAAUGAAAGUCCCUUGGAAGCAGACCCUCCCACCCCAGUCAAGCCUGACGUGUGAGAUCCUGAACCAGCACCAUCAAGCUAAAUCAAUCCCAGACUCCUAACCCUCAGAAACUGUGUGAGAUAAUAAAUAAUGUGAGAUAAAACCUACUAACUUUGGGGAUAAUUUGUUACACAGCAAUAAAUAACUAACGCACUCCUCUGUCCACAGUGAUAGUGCAAAACUCAGUCCCAUGCACCUUCCACAAGAAAGGUGUGUUCCACUAAAGACAUGUGGAGCCAUAGGGGAGAAUUAUGCACAUAAGUGUAGCAUUCCUUUUCCCUGGCUCUGUCUCUAUGUGCUUCCUCUCAGAACUGCUACCUUCUGAAGACCCACGUUGCAGACACGUGGCCUCUAUGCCAGGUGACAUCCCCUGGGACACCUAGUCCAGUCUUUCUCCCAAAUCUGCCCACUGUCACAUCACAUCUGCUUUAAAAUGAGGUCACUCUGUACCUACUACUGAUAAAAUUGCAUUUUCAUUUAUCAUAUUAUAUAAGUCCUUCCAAACCAACAAAUAUCCUUGUAAGAAGCAUCUUUUCAAUAAUUGCAAACUAUUCCCUUGUGUAUGAAUAGAACAGAAUUUAUUAACCUUAUCCAUUUUGUGCUACAUUUCAAUUAUUUCCUGGAUUUAUAAAAAAUACUCCAGUGCAUAUCCUUGGAACUAAGUCUUUGAAGAGAUCUUUAGUAAUUUUCAUGGGAUAAAUUUCUUGACAGAUAAAGGCAAGGAAAUGAAGAGAUUUUAGGCUGUUAUAGCAUUUGGUAUUCAUUGCCUUACAGAGUUCCAAAAAUAAUUAUGCAACUUUUGUUAUGAUUGAUAUUAGGGUUCUGAGGGGGCCUGCACUCCCGCUUAAAUUGUGGAUUAUUUAAAUGUAUUUCUGAAAUGUUUGCCCUCUGUCAAAUGCUGUUAUUUUCAAA